AUCAUUGCUAGCCUUCUCUUGCGUUGUUGCAAUUAAAACGUUCGUAGCUCGAAUUAGGCCGCAAGGCCGUGUUACUAUGAGGAAAUAGUAGAGUUCAUCUCAGGUUCCGCUGUUCAGGACAGCAUAGAACGACAAGCCAGGGUUUACCUUGGACGCUCUAUAGGGCACUGGGGAGUAGGCGGUAUUAGCGGGGGACAGGUGAAAUAGGAUGAUCCCGCUAGGACCCACAGAAGCGAAGGCAGCCUACUACCAGCGUCCCG
rnacentral:rRNA from 1 species